rnacentral:snRNA from 1 species
AAUAAUGCGCUUGGGGCAAUGACGCAGUUAGUGAGGUGAAACCGAGACGCGUCAAUUGCUGGUUGAAAACUAUUUCCAAAUGCAUGUUAUUUUAAUUUGCAUCUUAUAAUAUUCAAUAUCUACAAAUAAAUUUUUUUU